GAUGAAUGUUGGCGGUGCGCCUAAUACAUGCAAGUCGAGGGGGUCGCAAGACCACCGGCAAACGGGUCCGUAACACGUUGGAACCUGCCCUGAAGUGAGGGAUAACUACGCGAAAGCGUAGCUAAUACCGCAUAUGGCCGUAAGGUUAAAGCAGCAAUGCGCUUCAGGAGGGGCCUGCGUCCUAUUCGCUAGUUGGUGUGGUAAAGGCGCACCAAGGCGACGAUCCUUAGCUGGUCUGAGAGGAUGAUCAGCCACACUGGGACUGAGACACGGCCCAGACUCCUACGGGAGGCAGCAGUGGGGAAUAUUGGACAAUGGGCGAAAGCCUGAUCCAGCAAUGCCGCGUGAGUGAUGAAGGCCUUAGGGUUGUAAAGCUCUUUACCCGGGAUGACAAUGACAGUACCGGGAGAAUAAGCUCCGGCUAACUCCGUGCCAGCCGCCGCGGUAA
rnacentral:rRNA from 1 species